CCCAUCUCCAUCAGCAGCAGUUUUUGCAAAAAAAUGAUCCUCCUUCUUCUUCGUUGUUCUACGAUCAAACUCUACAAUCGACGAUUGAUUUAUUCCAUCCAGGUGAUUGAUUUAUUCCAUACAGGUGAUUGAUUUAUUCCAUGAUUUGUAUGCUUCAUUUCUCGGGUUUGAGGUUGAACUGAAACAAAGAGAAGGAGACGGAGAAUACGGUAAAUGGUGCAUUUGACGUUUUACAUGAAGUGAUGUAAAAAAGGGGUGUAGGUGGUAGUGGUUCUGCAUAACGGAAAGAACACCCAAUGGUUUCCACAGAUGCGUAGAGGCGACGUCAAUUGUUGUGGGCCGGUGAUGAUGUCGUGCGAUUCUGGAGAAGAUGAACAAUCGACACAAAUGAUAACAGAUCGAUGUCAAUGGCGAAAAUUUGGCGAAAGGAAACUCAUGUCGACUGACAUAUUAGUAUAUUACCAGUGCACCUGGUGUCGUUUGCCCCGUCAGGAAAUAGGUUGAAGUUCUUAUGAUGGAUAUUGUCGCAAUCGAAUAGAAGAUCACUAAAUGGAAAGUAGCAGGCAGCAAGUAGCUUGAUUCUCUCCCUUAAAACCCUAAUUGUUCAGCCGUUUUUCUUCAACAUACCAUACAACUUCACUCCGACAACGAACGCGCGAUAGAGAACUGCCUAGCACUUGACCAUAAGAAUUUAUGUUAAUUGAUCCUAAAUUGUGUUUUGAUUUUGAUUAAGAUCUAAAAAAUUAAAGGGUUGUUUCUAAAUAAACAUGAACUUUUAAUGUAGAUAAAUUGGACAAAGAAAGAAAGAUGAGGUAACUCGACGUUGGAUUAAGUUCAAAUUCUUUGGGAAGUGUAUAUCUACAUUCAAAGUUCCUAAGACCACCAUGGAGAAUUGUCGUUAUUCCGGAUACCACAAAACAGCACUCGCGCCAAUUCACAGAACAGAUCUUGGAGGGACACCACAAUGUGUUUAGUGGGCUAGAAACUCAAGCUAUGAGAUCAGCAUAUUACACAAAUCCAAUAGUUAAAGCGUAUUACAAAAGUCAUGUUCAAAGAGUUAUAGCAAGAAUCAAUACAAUCACUAAAUUCGCAUAUAGUCAAGACCCCGCAAUCAUGGCAUGGGAACUCAUUAACGAGCCGAGUUGUCAAGCGGAUUACUACUCUGGAGGCGGAUGAACAUACUAAAUACUUGGAAGAACAGGAGUCAACAAAGUCUCAUGAUUCUGCCCAAAUGGUGCUGCACGAAUAGGUGUUGGAAUAGGCUUCUGGUGAAACCAUGGCUUAAGUCAGGUAUGAUGUUUUCUCCUUUGAUAUGCAGCCUGUUAAUGUGGUUAUUUGGUCUGGUUCGACUAAUAUGAGCAGUGCCUCGAAUCCCACUGCCUCUGUGGAUGGUACAAGUCAGGAAGCAGGUGGUACCUCUAAUGCUGCUGCAAAUGUUUUGAAUAAGCAUAAAACACGAAUAUUUCUUACGUUGAGCAGAUUAGAUGUAAUGAAGUUGAAAAAAUAGUCCAAUUAGAAUACAUACCCCUAGUUAUUACUCGGAAGGCAAGUGUCGUCUGGUUUUUAACUCAGGAGGAUCUGGCCUUAUCGGCUAAGAACUGGCACAACUGACAUUGUGGCAGUACUUCGUUCCCUUUCCAUACAUAGCUGACAUUGAGACUCUAAAAUGGUUUCAUCAAUUCUGAAGUUCCAAGAUAUGGACUAUAUUGAAGUAUCCUUAUAUUGAAGUAUCCUUAAACUGGUUCAGGUUCCAAUGCUAGAGGACGGUUCAACAAAUUGAGAGAUGCAUUUUCUAAAGUUUUAGGAUGGACCCAAUAAAGUCAACUUUGGUAUAUUUAGUGAUUCCAAGAUACACCAGAUAAUAAGAUGGGCCAGUUAGUUUAAAGACAGAGCAACCAUAGAGGCCGACCCCUUACUUUCUGAAGCAUACUGGUGGUAUUAUCUUUAAGUUUUUCAAGACUGUGAUCUGCAAGUAUCCUUCUAAUAAGGAUAUAAAUUUAGACGAAUACCUAAGUGUUCAUCAUGCUAUUUGUUUUACUAAUAUUGCUGAUGCAUGGAUUUAUGUGGCGCUAUCAAGAGUUAAAAGCAGAGACAUGAUUAAACUACUAAUAUUAGAUGGAGAUAGUAGUGUGACAAAUAAAAUAGCAAAUGGUUGUAGCCUGUAGGUAAAGAAAUAUUUACACAUUUAUCAAUUAUUUGUAUACUUUAAGAUUUUU